CAAUGUAGAAAGAAAAAAGAAGCUCCGUUUCAGCGGAGCUUCCCACGUAGAGCCGUUUAGACGGUAGCAAAAUUAAAACGAUCGAAUA
rnacentral:sRNA from 1 species